rnacentral:rRNA from 1 species
UACGGAGGGGGCUAGCGUUGUUCGGAAUUACUGGGCGUAAAGCGUGCGCAGGCGGCUUCUCAAGUCAGGGGUGAAAGCCCAGAGCUCAACUCUGGAAUUGCCUUUGAGACUGAGUGGCUUGAGUACGAGAGAGGUGAGUGGAAUUCCCAGUGUAGAGGUGAAAUUCGUAGAUAUCGAGAGGAACACCGGUGGCGAAGGCGGCCAACUGGACAGAUACUGACGAC